GGUUUAAUUCGAAGCAACGCGAAGAACCUUACCUGCUCUUGACAUCUCCCUGACCGGCAAGUAAUGUUGCCUUUCCUUCGGGACAGGGAUGACAGGUGGUGCAUGGUUGUCGUCAGCUCGUGUCGUGAGAUGUUGGGUUAAGUCCCGCAACGAGCGCAACCCCUAUCUUUAGUAGCCAGCGGUUCGGCCGGCACUCUAGAGAGACUGCCAGGGAUAACCUGGA
rnacentral:rRNA from 1 species